CCGUGUGAAUCUGCGAGGACCACCUCGUAAGGCUAAAUAUUCCUGAAUGACCGAUAGUGAAACAGUACCGUGAGGGAAAGGUGAAAAGAACCCCGGGAGGGGAGUGAAAAGAACAUGAAACCAUAAACUUACAAGCAGUAGGAGGACGACUAAAACGUCUGACUGCGUGCCUGUUGAAGAAUGAGCCGGCGACUUAUAGUUAGUGGCAGGUUAAGGUAGUGAAUACUGAAGCCACAGUGAAAGCGAGCCUGAAUAGGGCGUUUGUCACUAGUUAUAGACCCGAACCCGGAUGAUCUAACCAUGGUCAGGUUGAAGCUUAGGUAAUACUAAGUGGAGGACCGAACCGACUGAUGUUGAAAAAUCAGCGGAUGAAUUGUGGUUAGGGGUGAAAUGCCAAUCGAAUUCGGAGCUAGCUGGUUCUCCCCGAAAUGCGUUUUGGCGCAGCGGUAGAUGUUAUAGUUUAGGGGUAAAGCACUGUUACGUAUGCGGGCUGGUAAUUCGGUACCAAAUCGUUGCAAACUAAGAAUGCUAAAUGUAAAGUUUACCAGUAAGACUGUGGGGGAUAAGCUCCAUUGUCAAGAGGGAAACAGCCCAGAGCACCAGUUAAGGCCCUUAAAUAAUUACUAAGUGGUAAAGGAGGUGGGAGUGCAUAAACAAUCAGGAGGUUUGCUUAGAAGCAGCAAUCCUUUAAAGAGUGCGUAAUAGCUCACUGAUCGAGUAAACCUGCGCCGAAAAUGAACGGGACUAAGUAAUUUGCCGAAACUGUGCGAUAUAUAGAAAUAUAUCGGUAGGGGAGCGUUCUGUUGUAGGUCGAAGUAUUAGCGUAAGCGGAUAUGGACGAAGCAGAAGUGAGAAUGUCGGCUUGAGUAACGAAAAUAUAGGUGAGAAUCCUAUACCCCGAAAACCCAAGGUUUCCUCCGGAAGGCUCGUCCGCGGAGGGUAAGUCAGGACCUAAGGCGAGGCUGAAAAGCGUAGUCGAUGGACAACGGGUUAAUAUUCCCGUACCGUUUUUUAUUGAUAUCGAGGGACGGAGAAGGCUAAGCUAGCCGGAUAUUGGUUUUACCGGUUUAAGCGUUCAAGAUGUUGAGAAGCGGCGAAAACGCUUUGAGUUGAGACGUGAGUACGAGACGCUAAGGCGUUGAAGUGGUGUAUGUCAUACUUCCAAGAAAAGCUUGCACUGUCAUAAAUAAAAAAUGCCUGUACCAUAACCGACACAGGUGGGUAGGUAGAGUAUACUAAGGGGCGCGAGAUAACUCUCUCUAAGGAACUCGGCAAAAUGACUCCGUAACUUCGGGAGAAGGAGUGCCUUAUUCGUAAGGCUGCAAUAACAAGAUCCAAGCAACUGUUUAUCAAAAACACAGGUCUCCGCUAAGUCGUAAGACGAUGUAUGGGGGCUGACGCCUGCCCAGUGCCAGAAGGUUAAAGAAGUUGGUUAGCAUUAGCGAAGCUGAUAACUGAAGCCCUGGUGAACGGCGGCCGUAACUAUAACGGUCCUAAGGUAGCGAAAUUCCUUGUCGGGUAAGUUCCGACCCGCACGAAAGGCGUAAUGAUUUGGAUACUGUCUCGGAGAGGGGCUCGGUGAAAUAGACUUGUCUGUGAAGAUGCGGACUACCUGCACCAGGACAGAAAGACCCUAUGAAGCUUUACUGUA
rnacentral:rRNA from 1 species